AGACGGGUCCUGUGCGGUAGGACACCGUGAACCAUGUCAGGCGGGGAACCGAGCAGCAUUAAGCGGUUGUUCCUGCGCGCCGCAGAUUCAUCUGUCUGUC
rnacentral:SRP_RNA from 1 species